rnacentral:tRNA from 1 species
GGAGGGUUAGUUUAUGUAAAGCGUGGGUCUCAUAAACCUAAGAAACAAAGUUGUGUACUCUCUU